rnacentral:tRNA from 1 species
GCCUUGUUAGUUCAAGUGGCAGAACGACGGAACUGUAAACCGCUGAUCGGAGUUCGAUUCUUCGGCAAGGCCA